rnacentral:rRNA from 1 species
CCUACGGGGGGCUGCAGUGAGGAAUAUUGGUCAAUGGGCGCGAGCCUGAACCAGCCAAGUAGCGUGAAGGAUGACUGCCCUACGGGUUGUAAACUUCUUUUAUAAAGGAAUAAAGUGAGGCACGUGUGCCUUUUUGUAUGUCCUUUAUGAAUAAGGAUCGGCUAACUCCGUGCCAGCAGCCGCGGUAAUACGGAGGAUCCGAGCGUUAUCCGGAUUUAUUGGGUUUAAAGGGAGCGUAGAUGGGUUGUUAAGUCAGUUGUGAAAGUUUGCGGCUUAACCGUAAAAUUGCAAUUGAUACUGGCAGCCUUGAGUACGGUUGAGGUAGGCGGAAUUCGUGGUGUAGCGGUGAAAUGCUUAGAUAUCACGAAGAACACCGAUUGCGAAGGCAGCCUACUAAAACACCACUGACAUUGAUGCUCGAAAGUGUGGGUAUCAAACAGGAUUAGAUACCCGAGUAGUC